rfam:Picea glauca, whole genome shotgun sequence.
AUGUAAAUUCCUACAUUAUAGUUUUAAUGCAUCAGAUCCCAUUAGAUCUCCGCAGUUAAGCAUGUUCAAGCUAGAGUAGUUCUGGUAUGGGUGAUCGCCCAGGAAGUCCUAGUGUUUUACAUG